AAAAAAUGCGUCAAAUCAAAAAAAAAAACAUUUUGUUAUGUAUUGUGUACAUAACGUGAUUGAUGUUGAUUUUGUGGUGCUUAAGUAAUUUAUGAGUGAUGAAAAUGUUAUAGUUAUCUAUACGUUUACCAUAUUGAAGGCAAAAAUAGCAUAAUUUGGUACUGAACAGCUGAUUCGAUAUUAAUAUUUUAAUGAUAAUAACAAAACAUUUAAAAAUAUUGUGAAAUCAUAAAUGACCAGUUUCAAUCGUUUGGGCAACAACCGAUGAUCAAAUAGUUAGAAUAAUUUCAAGCUAAUCUAUGGUUUACAAAAUCAUAACAUAGCUAAUGAUUUUCCGAAAAAUUAUGCAUCCAUCCAUUUUUGUGUGUGUACCAAAAAAGGAGAUAGAUUCUUGUUCUGUUUGAGAUUUAUUCAAUCGAAAAUGGCGAAUCGUUUCAAGCCAUCCAUAUCAGCGAAGGGAGGAACGAAGGAUGAGAUUACAACGAUCAAAUGUGCGCUGAAGACAAUCAUUCGCUCACAAUUACAGCAAGCAUUGAUGAGCAAAAUAACGGACCUGAGUUUGCAAGCCACUUCAAUUUGCGUUUUGGGCUCAUUGCUGUUCUGGUUCGAGGUGCAAAAGGCGUACGAACAUAGGCAUUGAGAAUAAUGACUUCGCAUUUUUUGGUGAAAGUGGAGAAAAAAAGAACCAACUCUGCUUUUACCAAGUGCUAUGGCAUAACAAUCAGCCACCGAAACCGAAGUCGACGUACAGACCACGAGGAACUAAGCCACGAGGACCACGAGCAGAGCUGCCACGUAUCGAUUCUGAAUUCAAAGCAAUCGUCGAAGGUCUUGACGACUACCAUCGUAUCGAUUGGCCCAAAAACAAAGAUUUCAAUGGCAAUGGCCUCAAGCAUUUGGCCAAUCAAUACACAGACAACGUCGUCACCAAUUCAACAACGCAUGCUGACAAACACAUCACCCAGUACUUGAAACUGAAAGUGUUCGAAUUGAACACAGACCGAGAAGAGGACGCAGAGAAUUUUUUUCCAAGUGACAUCGAAAGUGUUGUAAAACUGAUAAUCAAAGAAAAAAACAUCAAAGUGCCAAUUCACGAUCCAAACAAACUCGAACGGUGUGGCAUGUUGUAUGACAUGAGUUUCCAGAAAUCGAUCUGCAUGACCUCACGACUGACGAAAAACAUUGGUUUAAGGCCAUGCCAAUGUUCCUAUCUAUGCAACGCGAGAUAGAAGAGUACAAUUCGACGUGGCCACAUCAGGACCGACCCAAACGAAAGAAAAGAAAGCGCAAAAAUCAAAGAAGAAACGUGAGUGGUGCCCCAAGCGCAAACAAAUUCUCGACGAUCCAAACUUUCGGCCAUUCAUCCGGAAUUUAGUAGUGGUGCUGAUGUGUGAUUUUCGCCGAAAGCACUUCAAAAUUGACUGCUCGAGUAUGCACCAGGUGUUGUCUUCGCAAAAAUUGCUACCGAAAGUGGAAGUUGAGAAUAAAAACGGUAAAACCAGCAUAAUAAAUAUUCCACAAAAGGAUUUCAACGAUGCAAGUGAUCAUUGGUGGAAUCAGUAUUUCUACAUGCGGAAAAUUCGGUGAUUCGUGCGUGGAAAAAAGAAGUUUGAAUUUUCCAUAAACACCGAUGGAAUCGCUGUGUCUCUACAGCACUCGGCCAAGAAGAAGACAAAUAACGAAGAAAUCGACCGUUCUCGUCGCAUCGUUCAAAUGAUUAUGGAUGGCAAAUUCAAAAAAUUUGCGGGCAUUAAUACAGGCGUGCGGAAUUGGAAUACCACAGUAACACACAACAUUAAAAGUGGCAAAGAAAUCAACUUUGUAAUGUCGAGCAAGCAGUUCCAUUGGCAGACUUUUCAGAAUGUGCGAAAUGCCAAAGCAAAGCGUUGGACCACAGAUUUCGUCCAAGAGGAGCGCCGAGACAGAGAAAACCGUAAAAUUUACCCAGUGAUGCCAUCGCCAAAAGGGUCACAGUGGCUGAACUAUGUGAAGCACCGAGUCAAGAUGAUGAAGCAUAUAAAAAUAUUAUGUCUGUUAAGGCAUAAAUGGAACAAAUGGCACGUCAAAAGAUGAGGAUAAAAACACUCUUGUAUCAGCCGAGCCCAAUCCAACAGGAGAAAACGCAGAAAGUGGCGCAAAACGUUCAAAACGAUGGGUAUGGGUUGAAUACUUCUAUCCAGAGCCAGUUUCUUAUACGUAUUAUGUCGUCCCCAAUACGCGCACAACAAAAAAAUUUCAUUUAUUUCUUCCGUCAACUAUUGACACCUAUUUUGAUGUGAUAUAUGCUAUAUCUUACAUUAAAUGGUAAAACCACAUAAAAUAAACUUAAAUAACACAUUAGAAGUUGUAAAA